UGGGGAAUAUUGGACAAUGGGGGCAACCCUGAUCCAGCAACGCCGCGUGAAUGAAGAAGGCCUUCGGGUUGUAAAGUUCUUUUGUCUGGGAGCAAAAGUUGCGUAUGAAUAGUAUGCGAUGAUGAGAGUACCAGAAGAAUAAGCACCGGCUAACUACGUGCCAGCAGCCGCGGUAAUACGUAGGGUGCGAGCGUUAAUCGGAAUUACUGGGCGUAAAGCGUGCGCAGGCGGUUUUGUAAGACAGAGGUGAAAUCCCCGGGCUCAACCUGGGAACUGCCUUUGUGACUGCAAGGCUAGAGUGCGGCAGAGGGGGAUGGAAUUCCGCGUGUAGCAGUGAAAUGCGCAGAUAUCAGGAGGAACACCAAUGGCGAAGGCAGGUCUCUGGGCCAUUACUGACACUGAGGAGCGAAAGCGUGGGGAGCGAACAGG
rnacentral:rRNA from 1 species